UACGGAGGGUGCAAGCGUUAUCCGGAAUCACUGGGUUUAAAGGGUGCGUAGGCGGCUUAGUAAGUCAGGAGUGAAAGCCUGCGGCUUAACCGUAGAAAUGCUUUUGAUACUGCUGAGCUUGAAUUAGGUUGAGGUUGGCGGAAUGUGACAUGUAGCGGUGAAAUGCAUAGAUAUGUCAUAGAACACCAAUUGCGAAGGCAGCUGACUAGACCUUAAUUGACGCUGAGGCACGAAAGCGUGGGGAGCGAACAGG
rnacentral:rRNA from 1 species